AUCCAAAUAAUAUCUCGGCUCUUCCUGUUGCAGAUAUCAACGAGUACAGAUGUAGAGACGGUUACAUCCUGACAUGCAUCAUAUGAUGAUGACUUUACCAAUGCAGGGUAUAAAAAUUUACUAUUUGCCCCAAGCACUGGGAAUGCAUUUUCACUGUAGCCCGCUGAGACGGCAGACCACACCUGGACCUUACCUUGUUCUGGGCCCCAUACAUCUGCGACUAUAGGACACACAAGAAGAUCUAUAAAUAAAGAAGAUGCUCGCAAACUCCAGACCUUUAACGGUACAUCAGAAGUCAGCUGCUUGUGUCCUGCGUGGGUCGCAGUAUUUGUUUAGUUGGGAUGAGAAAUUGGUCGAGUCACAUUGUGUCAACAUGGAAGACAUCCAUUUGUCCUUCCCGGCUAAAAACCCUCACAAAUCAUCCACUUCAAUUAUUAUGAUUUUUUUCAUUUUGUUUGCAAAGUCAUUCCUAAGAUGGAGGCUUUGAUGGAAUGCCUCAAAGAUACGGCAACGAUGGAUGACUUGCGAAGAGAGUGCUGAAAAGUUUCUCUCCACCCCCGUCAGCGGAAGUCAGCGGGACAAGGCAGCAGACGUCUUUUCCAGAGGAUGGGAAACCUGGAGGCUGGAAUUGACUCUCAUUUGGAAGGAGGAGGAGGAG